rnacentral:rRNA from 1 species
UAGGGAAUAUUGCACAAUGGGGGAAACCCUGAUGCAGCGACGCCGCGUGAAGGAUGAAGUAUUUCGGUAUGUAAACUUCUAUCAGCAAGGAAGAUAAUGACGGUACUUGACUAAGAAGCCCCGGCUAAAUACGUGCCAGCAGCCGCGGUAAUACGUAUGGGGCAAGCGUUAUCCGGAUUUACUGGGUGUAAAGGGAGCGUAGGCGGCAUGGCAAGUCAGAAGUGAAAGCCUGGGGCUCAACCCCGGAAUUGCUUUUGAAACUGUCAGGCUAGAGUGUCGGAGGGGUAAGCGGAAUUCCUAGUGUAGCGGUGAAAUGCGUAGAUAUUAGGAGGAACACCGGUGGCGAAGGCGGCUUACUGGACGAUUACUGACGCUGAGGCUCGAAAGCGUGGGGA